CUGUGGUAAUUCUAGAGCUAAUACAUGCAAAUGGCCCUGACUUACGGAGGGGCGCUUUUAUUAGAUCAAAAUCAAUCGGGGCAACCCGUUUUUGUGAUGACUCUGGAUAACUUUGUGCCGACCGCAUGGCCUUGUGCCGGCGGCGUAUCUUUCAAAUGUCUGCCCUAUCAACUUUCGAUGGUAGGUGACAUGCCUACCAUGGUUGUAACGGGUAACGGAGAAUCAGGGUUCGAUUCCGGAGAGGGAGCCUGAGAAACGGCUACCACAUCCAAGGAAGGCAGCAGGCGCGCAAAUUACCCACUCCCGGCACGGGGAGGUAGUGAAGAAAAAUAACAAUGCUGGGCUUCAAGUCCGGUAAUUGGAAUGAGUACACUUUAAAUCCUUUAACGAGGAUCUA
rnacentral:rRNA from 1 species